UUAUCGGAUUACUGGGGCGUAAGCGCACGCAGGCGGUCUGUCAAGUCGGAUGUGAAAUCCCCGGGCUCAACCUGGGAACUGCAUUCGAAACUGGCAGGCUGGAGUCUUGUAGAGGGGGGUAGAAUUCCAGGUGUAGCGGUGAAAUGCGUAGAGAUCUGGAGGAAUACCGGUGGCGAAGGCGGCCCCCUGGACAAAGACUGACGCUCAGGUGCGAAAGCGUGGGGAGCAAACAGGAUUAGAUACCCUGGUAGUCCACGCCGUAAACGAUGUCGAUUUGGAGGUUGUGCCCUUGAGGCGUGGCUUCCGGAGCUAACGCGUUAAAUCGACCGCCUGGGGAGUACGGCCGCAAGGAUAAAACUCAAAUGAAUUGACGGGGGCCCCCACAAGCGGUGGAGCAUGUGGUUUAA
rnacentral:rRNA from 1 species